rnacentral:piRNA from 1 species
UGUUAAAUGCCAACUAGACAACCUAACUGAA